rnacentral:rRNA from 1 species
UGGCCCUCUCGGGGGCAUGUGCACACCCACCAUCCUCAUCUCUCCACCUGUGCACCUCUUGUAGACCUGGAUUGACUUUCCGAGGCAACUCGGUCGGGAAGAUUGCUGCGCUCUGUGAGCCAGCUUUCUUUGCAUGUCCAGGCCUAUGUUUUUCAUAUACCCCUAUAGAAUGUAACAGAAUGUAUCAUUGGGCCUUGUGCCUAUAAACCUUAUACAACUUUCAGCAACGGAUCUCUUGGCUCUCGCAUCGAUGAAGAACGCAGCGAAAUGCGAUAAGUAAUGUGAAUUGCAGAAUUCAGUGAAUCAUCGAAUCUUUGAACGCACCUUGCGCUCCUUGGUAUUCCGAGGAGCAUGCCUGUUUGAGUGUCAUUAAAUUCUCAACCUUAUUAACUUUUGUUGAUAAUGGAUUGGAUUGUGGGGGUUUCUUUUGCUGGCUUCUUCACAGAGAUCAGCUCCCCUUAAAUGCAUUAGCUGGUGCCCCGCGUGGACCAUCUAUUGGUGUGAUAAUUAUCUACGCCGUGGAUGUCUGCAAUCAUAUGGGUUUCGCACUGCUUCUAACCGUCUGUUCAUUCGGACAAUACAUGACAAUUUGACCUCAAAUCAGGUAGGACUACCCGCUGAACUUAAGCAUAUCAAUAAGCGGAGGAAAAGAAACUAACAAGGAUUCCCCUAGUAACUGCGAGUGAAGCGGGAAAAGCUCAAAUUUAAAAUCUGGCGGUCUCCGGCCGUCCGA